CGGGGUGUAGUAUAGUGGUAGUACGCCAGCAUGGGGUGCUGGUAGCGGCGGUUCGAUCCCGCCCACCCCGA
rnacentral:tRNA from 2 species